rnacentral:rRNA from 1 species
GCAGCAGUAGGGAAUUUUCGUCAAUGGGGGGAACCCUGAACGAGCAAUGUCGCGUGUGUGAAGAAGGUCUUCGGAUCGUAAAGCACUGUUGUAAGUGAAGAACGCCACAUAGAGGAAAUGCUAUGUGGGUGACGGUAGCUUACCAGAAAGCCACGGCUAACUACGUGCCAGCAGCCGCGGUAAUACGUAGGUGGCGAGCGUUGUCCGGAAUUAUUGGGCGUAAAGAGCAUGUAGGCGGUUUUUUAAGUCUGGAGUGAAAAUGCGGGGCUCAACCCCGUAUGGCUCUGGAUACUGGAAGACUUGAGUGCAGGAGAGGAAAGGGGAAUUCCCAGUGUAGCGGUGAAAUGCGUAGAUAUUGGGAGGAACACCAGUGGCGAAGGCGCCUUUCUGGACUGUGUCUGACGCUGAGAUGCGAAAGCCAGGGUAGCGAACGGGAUUAGAUACCCCGGUAGUCCUGGCCGUAAACGAUGGGUACUAGGUGUAGGAGGUAUCGACCCCUUCUGUGCCGGAGUUAACGCAAUAAGUACCCCGCCUGGGGAGUACGUCCGCAAGGAUGAAACUCAAAGGAAUUGACGGGGGCCCGCACAAGCGGUGGAGUAUGUGGUUUAAUUCGACGCAACGCGAAGAACCUUACCAGGUCUUGACAUCAAGUGACCGCCUAAGAGAUUAGGCUUUCCCUUCGGGGACACAAAGACAGGUGGUGCAUGGUUGUCGUCAGCUCGUGUCGUGAGAUGUUGGGUUAAGUC